rnacentral:lncRNA from 1 species
ACGCCCCAACUUCCCAGGGGGUCACCCAUCCUAGGACUACUCCCGUCCUAGCACGCUUAACUCUCUUAACCUCUUGGGUCUUGCCACCACCCAAAAUGCUUAAGCCGGGUUAAGAGUUUAGCCCUAUUAUAUCUUAUAUAUAGGACUAUCUGGGGUCUCACAAUCUCCCCUCCUUUAAGCCCUGACGUCCUCGUCAGGCUCAGACUCACAAGUACCAGGCGAUGUGAGACUCAUCUCGCUAGCCCGUCAUCCAGACCCUGGCUCAGCCGAGACUCAUCUCACAUUUCCGGCUGGUAAUUGGCUCUGAUACCAUCUGUGACGCCCCGACUUCCCAGGGGUCACCCAUCCUAGGACUACUCCCGUCCUAGCACGCUUAACUCUCUUAACCUCUUAGGUCUAGCCACCACCCAAAAUGCUUAAGCCGGGUUAAGAGUUUAGUCCUAUUAUAUCUCAUAUAUAGGACUAUCUGGGGUCUCACAAUCUCCCCUCCUUUAAGGUCCUGACGUCCUCGUCAGUCCAAUCACACACAGCCCAAGAUCACCAGGCUAUGUGAGACUCGUCUCGCUAGCCCGUCAUCCAGACCCUGGCUCAGCCGAGACUCAUCUCACACUUCCGGCUGGUAAUUGGCUCUGAUACCAUCUGUGACGCCCCAACUUCCCAGGGGGUCACCCAUCCUAGGACUACUCCCGUCCUAGCACGCUUAACUCUCUUAACCUCUUAGGUCUAGCCACCACCCAAAAUGCUUAAGCCGGGUUAAGAGUUUAGUCCUAUUAUAUCUCAUAUAUAGGACUAUCUGGGGUCUCACAAUCUCCCCUCCUUUAAGGUCCUGACGUCCUCGUCAGUCCAAUCACACACAGCCCAAGAUCACCAGGCUAUGUGAGACUCGUCUCGCUAGCCCGUCAUCCAGACCCUGGCUCAACCGAGACUAGCCACACAUGUCCAGCUGGUGAACCGGCUCUGAUACCAAAUGUAACGACCCAGCCCACUAGCAAUAAUAACUCGUUGGGCCCAGUCAACAGCCCAAAAUGCUUAAGCCCAGUUAUUAUUACUAGUGUCUAAGUCUCUUAUAAACCCAAUGACAACCCCUUUCCCAUCCGAUGUGAGACUAUUGGGAUGUCACAGACUCCCCCCGUUAAGGCCCUGACGUCUUCGUCAGUCC